AGGAAUUGAAGAGCACCACAAUAAGGGGGCUCUCGGCCAGCCCAAGGAAAAAUCCACCCCCAUUUCUUGCUCUUCCAAAAUUAUUUCCUUGGUACAAACCCACUAUUUUGAGGUCCCUAAGUAGCGUGGGAGUGUCGUUGGAGCGAUCAACCCAUUAUUUUUCAUCCAUUGGAAACCCUAGCAUUUUGUGGAAUUGAAGAGGAUAGAUCGUGGGCAGCCCGAAUCAUAGGUUGGAUUUAGCUUGAGUUUGGAUCGUAUUGGAGAGCGUUUGAGGUACGGACGCACAGCCUGGUGAUCCACCUGUUUAGGACACCCUUUGUGCUAUUCGGAGUGCUCCUCUCUUUCCGGAGCUUAUACUUUUGGUAUAUAUAUUUAUUAGU